UAGGCGUAGAUGCUUAGGCAAUCGAGUAGACCGCGAGUAAUUUGACCCAACGCGUGCCCUAUAUGUAAUUAGGUCAACGUUUGACAUAACGGUAUUAUUAUAGUAGAUACUUUGUGUAAUAUAGGACACGCGUGGGGGCUUAGUGUGCUCAUAGUAUAAUAAUGGUUAUAAUCGGAUCGUGUGUUGGAGGCAACAGUGACUGACGAAAGCUGAUAGGAAUAGUAGGACGUGGAUGACUGAUAAAAAAAAGUAAGUAGGAAAAAGUAAAAUAUAUACAAAGUGAAAAGGGAGUGGAACAUGUAACAGAAAAAAAAACAGGAUUUUACCAC
rnacentral:lncRNA from 1 species